GCCCGUUUGGCGUAACGGAAAACGCGCCCUGCGAGUGUUGAACCGGCAACACACCACCACUGUGUGGCAGGAUAAGCCCGAUGGAAUCUUCAGGGAGAUCUUGGUUCGAUUCCAAGGGUGGGCG
rnacentral:tRNA from 1 species